rnacentral:lncRNA from 1 species
GUUGAAGUUGUGGGUGGAGUCCGGCUCCCGUAGGAGUCCGGGUGGAGUCUCCUGUAAUUAAAGUCAGGUGCGAAGUCCGGUUCCCGUAGGAGGCGGAGCUCGGCUCCCAUAGGUGUCCGGGCGGAGUCCCCUGCAAUUACAGUCAGGUGCGAAGUCCGGCUCCCGUAGGAGUCCGGACGGAGCUUACCGGCAGUUGAAGUUGGCGAUGGAGCCCGGCUCCCGUAGGAGUCCGG